GGGGUUGUGGCUCAGUGGUAGAGCGCUUGCCUAGCAUGUGCAAGGCCCUGGGUUCAAUCCUCAGCAUCACAU
rnacentral:tRNA from 1 species